CCUACGGUGCGCAGCAGUGAGGAAUAUUGGUCAAUGGACGAGAGUCUGAACCAGCCAAGUAGCGUGAAGGAUGACUGCCCCAUGGGUUGUAAACUUCUUUUAUAUGGGAAUAAAAUGUUCCUCGUGUGGCAUUUUGUAUGUACCAUAUGAAUAAGGAUCGGCUAACUCCGUGCCAGCAGCCGCGGUAAUACGGAGGAUCCGAGCGUUAUCCGGAUUUAUUGGGUUUAAAGGGGGCGUAGGUGGGUUGUUAAGUCAGUUGUGAAAGUUUGCGGCUCAACCGUCAGAGUGCAGUUGAAACUGGCAGUCUUGAGUACAGGAGAGGUGUGCGGAAUUCGUGGUGUAGCGGUGAAAUGCUUAGAU
rnacentral:rRNA from 1 species